rnacentral:rRNA from 1 species
UGGGGAAUAUUGCACAAUGGGCGAAAGCCUGAUGCAGCAACGCCGCGUGAGUGAUGAAGGCCUUCGGGUUGUAAAGCUCUGUCUUUUGGGACGAUAAUGACGGUACCAAAGGAGGAAGCCACGGCUAACUACGUGCCAGCAGCCGCGGUAAUACGUAGGUGGCAAGCGUUGUCCGGAUUUACUGGGCGUAAAGGAUGCGUAGGCGGAUUUUUAAGUGAGAUGUGAAAACCCUAAGCUUAACUUGGGGACUGCAUUUCAUACUGGAAAUCUAGAGUGCGGGAGAGGAGAAUGGAAUUCCUAGUGUAGCGGUGAAAUGCGUAGAGAUUAGGAAGAACACCAGUGGCGAAGGCGAUUCUCUGGACCGUAACUGACGCUGAGGCAUGAAAGCGUGGGUAGCAAACAGGAUUAGAUACCCUGGUAGUCCACGCCGUAAACGAUGAGUACUAGGUGUAGGAGGUAUCGACCCCCUUCUGUGCCGCAGUUAACACAAUAAGUACUCCGCCUGGGAAGUACGAUCGCAAGAUUAAAAACUCAAAGGAAUUGACGGGGGUCAUAGCUG